rnacentral:rRNA from 1 species
AUUGAACGCUGGCGGCAGGCCUAACACAUGCAAGUCGAACGGUAACAGGAAGAAGCUUGCUUCUUUGCUGACGAGUGGCGGACGGGUGAGUAAUGUCUGGGAAACUGCCUGAUGGAGGGGGAUAACUACUGGAAACGGUAGCUAAUACCGCAUAACGUCGCAAGACCAAAGAGGGGGACCUUCGGGCCUCUUGCCAUCGGAUGUGCCCAGAUGGGAUUAGCUAGUAGGUGGGGUAACGGCUCACCUAGGCGACGAUCUCUAGCUGGUCUGAGAGAAUGACCAGCCACACUGGAACUGAGCCACGGUCCAGACUCCUACGGGAGGCAGCAGUGGGGAAUAUUGCACAAUGGGCGCAAGCCUGAUGCAGCCAUGCCGCGUGUAUGAAGAAGGCCUUCGGGUUGUAAAGUACUUUCAGCGGGGAGGAAGGGAGUAAAGUUAAUACCUUUGCUCAUUGACGUUACCCGCAGAAGAAGCACCGGCUAACUCCGUG